UUUAUAAGUUCAAUCUUGACUUUACACUAGCUCUAGUGUUCAUUACAUCACUUUAUGUUGCAAACUCAUGCAAUCGUUAUUCUUUACUUUUCUUUUACUUUUGCUAACUCUAGCAAUUAUAUUCUUUACAUUUCUCGUUCUUACUGUCCCACUUUACUUUAACCUUACACAUUGUCAUUUUCAUCAUUCUUUACAUCACUUUAGUUCUUUACAUCACACUAACUCUAGUGUCUCUUUACUUUACAUUUUCCAAAUGCCACUCGAUCUAUGUCAUCGU
rnacentral:lncRNA from 1 species